UGAGUACGAAAUGCUACGGCAUUGAAGCAGUCUAUGUCAUACUUCCUAGAAAAGCUUGCACUGUCAUAAACAAAUAAUGCCUGUACCAUAACCGACACAGGUGGGUAGGUAGAGUAUACUAAGGGGCGCGAGAUAACUCUCUCUAAGGAACUCGGCAAAAUGACUCCGUAACUUCGGGAGAAGGAGUGCCUUAUUUAUAAGGUUGCAAUAACAAGAUCCAAGCAACUGUUUAUCAAAAACACAGGUCUCCGCUAAGUCGUAAGACGAUGUAUGGGGGCUGACGCCUGCCCAGUGCCAGAAGGUUAAAGAAGUUGGUUAGCAUUCGCGAAGCUGAUAACUGAAGCCCUGGUGAACGGCGGCCGUAACAAUAACGGUCCUAAGGUAGCGAAAUUCCUUGUCGGGUAAGUUCCGACCCGCACGAAAGGCGUAAUGAUUUGGAUACUGUCUCGGAGAGGGGCUCGGUGAAAUAGACUUGUCUGUGAAGAUGCGGACUACCUGCACCUGGACAGAAAGACCCUAUGAAGCUUUACUGUAACUUGAAAUUGAAAUUGGACUUUAUUUGCGCAGUAUAGGUGGGAGGCAUUGAAGAUAUUCUUGCGGGAAUAUUGGAGCCAUCAGUGAGAUACCACUCUUGUAAUGUUAGAUUUCUAACUUUGUAUCAUUAUCUGGUCAAAGAACAGUUUCAGGCGGGCAGUUUGACUGGGGCGGUCGCCUCCCAAAUGGUAACGGAGGCGCACAAAGGUUUCCUCUGAACGGGUAGAAAUCGUAUCUAGAGUGUAAAGGCAUAAGGAAGCUUGACUGUGAGACCUACAAGUCGAGCAGGGACGAAAGUCGGUCUUAGUGAUCUGACGGUGCUGAGUGGAAAGGCCGUCAAUCAACGGAUAAAAGUUACUCUAGGAUAACAGGCUGAUCUCCCCCAAGAGUUCUCAUCGACGGGGAGGUUUGGCACCUCGAUGUCGGCUCAUCGCAUCCUGGGGCGGUAGUACGUCCCAAGGGUUGGGCUGUUCGCCCAUGAAAGCGGUACGCGAGCUGGGUUCAGAACGUCGUGAGACAGUUCGGUCCAUAUCCGGUGUAGGCGUUAGAAUAUUGAGAGGAGCCUUCUUUAGUACGAGAGGACCGAGAAGGACAUACCUCUGGUGUACCAGUUAUUGUGCCAACGGUAAACGCUGGGUAGCUAUGUAUGUAGAGGAUAACCGCUGAAAGCAUCUAAGUGGGAAGCCCACCUCAAGAUAAGUA
rnacentral:rRNA from 1 species